rnacentral:rRNA from 1 species
GAUGAACGCUGGCGGCGUGCCUAAUACAUGCAAGUCGAGCGAAUGGAUUAAGAGCUUGCUCUUAUGAAGUUAGCGGCGGACGGGUGAGUAACACGUGGGUAACCUGCCCAUAAGACUGGGAUAACUCCGGGAAACCGGGGCUAAUACCGGAUAACAUUUUGAACCGCAUGGUUCGAAAUUGAAAGGCGGCUUCGGCUGUCACUUAUGGAUGGACCCGGGUCGCAUUAGCUAGUUGGUGAGGUAACGGCUCACCAAGGCAACGAUGGGUAGCCGACCUGAGAGGGUGAUCGGCCACACUGGGACUGAGACACGGCCCAGACUCCUACGGGAGGCAGCAGUAGGGAAUCUUCCGCAAUGGACGAAAGUCUGACGGAGCAACGCCGCGUGAGUGGUGAAGGCUUUCGGGUUGUAAAACUCUGUUGUUAGGGAAGAACAAGUGCUAGUUGAAUAAGCUGGCACCUUGACGGUACCUAACCAGAAAGCCACGGCUAACUACGUGCCAGCCGCCGCCGUAA